ACCUUUUGUAUAAUGGGUCAGCGACUUAUAUUCUGUAGCAAGGUUAACCGCAUAGGGGAGCCGGAGGGAAACCGAGUCUUAACCGGGCGUUAAGUUGCAGGGUAUAGACCCGAAACCCGGUGAUCUAGCCAUGGGCAGGUUGAAGGUUGGGUAACACUAACUGGAGGACCGAACCGACUAAUGUUGAAAAAUUAGCGGAUGACCUGUGGCUGGGGGUGAAAGGCCAAUCAAACCGGGAGAUAGCUGGUUCUCCCCGAAAGCUAUUUAGGUAGCGCCUCGUGAAUUCAUCUCCGGGGGUAGAGCACUGUUUCGGCCAGGGGGCCAUCCCGGCUUACCAAUCCGAUGCAAACUGCGAAUACCGGAGAAUGUUAUCACGGGAGACACACGGCGGGUGCUAACGUCCGUCGUGAAGAGGGAAACAACCCAGACCGCCAGCUAAGGUCCCAAAGUCAUGGUUAAGUGGGAAACGAUGUGGGAAGGCCCAGACAGCCAGGAUGUUGGCUUAGAAGCAGCCAUCAUUUAAAGAAAGCGUAAUAGCUCACUGGUCGAGUCGGCCUGCGCGGAAGAUGUAACGGGGCUAAACCAUGCACCGAAGCUGCGGCAGCGACACUGAUGUGUUGUUGGGUAGGGGAGCGUUCUGUAAGCCGUUGAAGGUGGCCUGUGAGGGUUGCUGGAGGUAUCAGAAGUGCGAAUGCUGACAUAAGUAACGAUAAAGCGGGUGAAAAGCCCGCUCGCCGGAAGACCAAGGGUUCCUGUCCAACGUUAAUCGGGGCAGGGUGAGUCGACCCCUAAGGCGAGGCCGAAAGGCGUAGUCGAUGGGAAACGGGUUAAUAUUCCCGUACUUGGUGUUACUGCGAAGGGGGGACGGAGAAGGCUAUGUUGGCCGGGCGACGGUUGUCCCGGUUUAAGCGUGUAGGUGUGUGUUCCAGGUAAAUCCGGUUCACUUUAACACUGAGGCGUGACGACGAGGCACCACGGUGCUGAAGCAACAAAUGCCCUGCUUCCAGGAAAAGCCUCUAAGCCUCAGGUAACAC
rnacentral:rRNA from 1 species